rnacentral:lncRNA from 1 species
AACUCAUACCAACAUCAGACAAAGUCAUUACAAGAACAAAAACUAUAAGAAAUUAUCUUUUAUGAACUUAGAUGCAAAAUAUUCUAAAAUAAAUUGUGUAAAUCAAAUACAGUAAUAUAUAAAAAGAAGAAUACAUCAUGACCAAGUGGGGUUUAUUCAAGUAUACAAGGCUGACUUGAUGUUCUAAAACAAUCACAUAAUUCACCAUAUCAAAAAGCUAAUAAAGAACAACCAUAGGCCAGGCGUGGUGGCUCACGCCUGUAAUCCCAACACUUUGGGAGGCCGAGGCGGGCAGAUCACUUAAGGUCGGGAGUUUGAGACCAGCCUGGCCAAUAUGGUGAAACCUUCUCUCUACUAAAAAUACAAAAAUUAGCCAAGCGCUGUCGCGGGUGCCUAUAAUCCCAGUUGCUCAGGAGGCUAAGGCAAGAGAAUCGCUUGAAUCCAGGAGGCAGAGGUUGCAGUGAACCGAGAUCGUGCCACUACACUCCAGCCUAGGUGACAACAGUAAGACUCCAUCUCAAAAAAAAAAAAAAAAGAAGAAGAAGAGAACAAUAUAUUUAUCUCGAUAGUUGUAAAAAAGACAAUCCAAAAUCCAUUCCUUAUUUAAAAAAAAAAAGUCUUUGUGAGCUAGGAAUAUAGAGGAACUUCUUCAACCUGCUAGAGAAUAAAACAGAAAACAUCAUACUCAAUGGUGACACAUUGAAUCCUUCUGUUAACUAAGAUCAGGGAAAAGACAAGGAUUUCAUGGUUAUCGGUUCUAUUCAGCAUUGUACUGGAGGAUGUAUCCAGCGUAAAAAGGUAAGAAAAAUAAGUAAAAAGUCAUCCACAUUGGAAAGGAAGAGGUAAAAGUGUCUUUGUAUAAAAAUGACUUGAUUGUGUAGAGAAUCUGAUGGAACCAACAAAAAAGCAGCUAAAACUAAUAAAUGACUUUUAUAAAGUUUCAAGAUGCAAGAUUGAUGUACAGAAAUCUAGGCCAGGUAUGGCGGCUCAUACCUGCAGUCCUGAAACUGGGAGACAAAGAAGGGAGGACUGCUUGAGGCCAGGAGUUCAAGACUAGCCUGUGUAACAUAGUGAGGCCCCAUCUGUACAAAAAUUUUUAAAAAUCAGCCAGGUUUGGUGGUGUGUACCUGUAGUCCUAGGUACUUAGGAGGCUGAGCGAAGAGGAUCACUUGAGCCUAGAAGUUCAAAGCUGCAAUGGGCUAUGAUCAUGCCACUGCAUUCCAACCUGGGCGGCAGAGUAAGACUGUGUCUCAAAAAAAAAAAAAAAAA